rnacentral:tRNA from 1 species
GCUUAGCUCAGCUGGGAGAGCGCCUGCUUUGCACGCAGGAGGUCAGCGGUUCGAUCCCGCUAGU